CACGCCGUAAACUAUGGAUGCUAGCUGUUAUCGGUAUCGACCCCGGUAGUAGCGAAGCUAACGCGUUAAGCAUCCCGCCUGUGGAGUACGGUCGCAAGACUAAAACAUAAAGGAAUUGACGGGGACCCGCACAAGCGGUGGAGCGUGUUGUUUAAUUCGAUGGUAAACGAAGAACCUUACCCAGGUUUGACAUCCUUGGAAUUUUGCCGAAAGGCGAGAGUGCUUUAUUGAACCAAGUGACAGGUGU
rnacentral:rRNA from 1 species